CCAUGCAUUGAUUUACAGGGCUUUAGGGAAUAAGGCUUUCCUCCAGCCAGUGAAUAAGGAUGAGAUUAUUGCUCCAAAGGCCCGUGAGAUCUAUCAGAAAGCAAAAGGCGUUUAAUGACAGGAUGGAGUGUCAGAAGCUGCUGGAGGUUCAGGGGCAAGGGAAGUCUAGCCGCCAUAAGAAUCGAGUGGCGCUCAUGUUCAAGGCCUCGGAGGCCAACCUGGACAGGACAGCCUUACUCAUAGCCAACAACCCCCUUCCUGACCUCCAUAACCUGAAGGAGGGUGACAGCCCCACCAAAUACCUGGCAGGCAACCCCCCCGCCCCCGCCCCCGCCAAGGUCAGAGGUCAUUAAAAAAAAUAAUGUGAUGUUGAGCAAAACCCCCAAGCCUGACUGAUCAUAAACCAAGAGUAAUGUGGAAAUCUUGAAUAUUGAAUGCUCUUAAAUUGAUCAAUUGGCUGUUCUCUCAGAGGCUUGAAGCCAUUCGGGGUCGUCAGAGUGGUUUGCCUCCUCUGAAACAUCCUUUUAAAUUGCCAUCUGGGAUGAGAAGAGAUGUCAGCAAGCGGAGCAGCAGAGCUCCAUCAUGGGUGCAAACGAGUCUCUGUGUGCAGUUCUCUGAGGAUAGGUCAACGUUUUCAGACAGGGACAACUGGCAAGAAGGUAUUUCCUUGCAUUGCAGAGCUGGCUACAAUUUCAAUUUCAUCCCCCUGAAAAGAUAGAACAAAUAUUACAACAAAUAUGGCUGAACUGAAAUGUGCUUGUUGAUAAAAGACCUGGAUUUAUGGGAAAGAUGUUUGAAAAGGGUAUUUUGUUCUUAAAUUAUAUUGUAAAUUGUAAUGGUAGAGUUAUGUCCUUCAUGGAGUUAUCAGAAUUGUACGGGAAGAUCUGCU
ensembl:lncRNA